UACGAAGGGGGGCUAGCGUUGCUCGGAAUCACUGGGCGUAAAGGGCGCGUAGGCGGCCAUUCAAGUCAGAGGUGAAAGCCCCAAGGCUCAACCUUGGAACUGCCUUUUGAUACUGUUUUGGCUUGAGACCGGUAGAGGUAAGUGGAACUGCGAGUGUAGAGGUGAAAUUCGUAGAUAUUCGCAAGAACACCAGUGGCGAAGGCGGCUUACUGGACCGGUUCUGACGCUGAGGCGCGAAAGCGUGGGGGAGCAAACAGG
rnacentral:rRNA from 1 species